rnacentral:lncRNA from 1 species
AAUACAGAGAAUAAAUGAAUGCACUUGGACAUGGAAAUGUUACAUCUGAACCACCUACUGCUUCUGCUGCAAUGUCAUCUUCAACUCUUCUCCUACCUUCAUUAGCUAUUAGUAAGCCAAAACUGUCCCAAGGUUCAAGUAUGUAGUGGAUUAAAAACAUCGGUUGUGAAGCAUCUUGGCUCUGGAAAAUGCAUGCCUAUUUCAGAAUUUUUGUGAAGCACUUUUCAGAAUUUAAUCAUCUUUGUAAUAUGAUUGUAUCUAAUAGAUUAUUUCUUGGUUGUGGCAGUUUUCCUCGGUUCACUGUGAGUGGUGUCAGUGCAGUCAUCUUGCUUAGCAGUUUGAUUACUCUUGGCUACAUCGACGAGGAUGAAGAAAGGCACAACUUUGAACACAAAGGAGGUAAGGCCUGAAGCUUUUUUUUGGCCUAUUCAUACAGCACAAAAAUGAGAAAGUUAUUUGAAUAUAAGAUUCUGCGAGCCAUCAAUUGGUUGGUCUCACUUUUUUAAAAAACUGCUGCUUGCUUAAGAGUUUCUAUUCAUUUGCUGAGUUGGUUAUCAUCUGGUUAGAACGUUUAAACUUGGAUAUUAUACUUGAGCCGCAUUUUCUUACUGGCAUUCUAUAUUUGAUUCUAUUACAGGGUUUCUCUGCCCAUUCGUCCCAUACCUUCCAGUUCUUUGCAUAUUGAUCAACACCUACUUGAUCAUCAACAUUGGGUGAGUUAGUCUGAUGGACCCAUGCAUGAUACCAGUAUAUUGGGAUGUUUCUAAACCCUAGCUGGUAAUUUGUAAUGGCAGAGCUGGGACAUGGAUCAGGGUCUUGGUAUGGCUACUUAUUGGAAGCAUGAUCUAUCUCUUCUAUGGCCGAUCUCACAGCUUACUGAACAAUGCGGUUUACACGACUUGUACCAGAAAAACAACAGAUCAUCUUGCUUAAGAUUGGUGGUUCAAUGCAGCAGCUGAAGGGAGUCGAGCUCAAGCUUUGUUGUUGCUGAAGUAGCAUCGAAAGAGAAUUAAACAGUUUGGCACAAGAUUAAAAUACAUACAAGAACAUUUCAUGUACAUUGUUAAGUCAUUCAAAAUGUAUAUCUCUUAUAUAUGCCAACGUACAUUGGACUUUGAAGUAGUCCAUUUAAAAACUCUCAUGAAUCAUCAUGGUACUAACAUGAAAGAAGACAGUGUUGUGGUUAGUAUACUAUUGAGGAUCGGAUCAUCAGCCUUAUCGACUUAGGCAAUGAGUUGAGACUUCCUUCACCUUAAUUAAACUCAGCAGAUUCUCUCUCACAUAAAUCCAAAAAAAAAAAAAGGAAACAAAGGCAAAGAAAGAAAAAGGAAAUAACAGAAAAAAGGAAAUCUUUUAUGUGACCGUUAAUUAAUUGUGAUUAGCAAUUUCCUUUUUCUUUUGAACCUCUUUGCUUAUAAAUAGAUGAGACUCUAUUUCUUCCUUGUGAGAGAAAUCAAAACUCUCUGUUUCUCGCUUCUUCUUCUUCUUCUUCUUUGAAAUAAAUUAGGUCGCUGCUAAGAGUUAGGGUGAUCGGAGCCGGAAAGCAUAUAUCAUCGUGAAUGAUGAUAUCCUCUGUCAUCUUCAGUCGCCCUAAAUCCACCGGAUAAUGAUCUAGCCACCGAGGUCGAUGUCACAAUUAGGGGUGGAUGUCGUAAGUGGUGGAUGAUGUUGGAAACUGAUCCUAUUCUUAAUCCUACUUGAGAUGAGAUCAAGACAAGAGUGGAGAAGAUGAGAAGAGACUGCAACAAAAGAGAGGAGAGAGAUCGUAACAAGAGAAGAAAGAAAGAAAGAAGAUGUGUUUGUGUUUGUGUCGUAAGAGAAAGAACAAAAAGGCCAAUGGGCCUUGGUGUUGAAUUGAAGGCCCAAAUAUUAAACGGGUUAUUCACAUGGAUGUCACCGAAGAACGAUGGGCUCAAAUCUGACUUUAGAAUGGCUUUUUCGUAUCGGGCCUUCUUUGCUACCAAAUCCAACCAGGUAUUCCUUUCUUCAUUCUUAUUUUUUGUUUUUGUUUCCUUUUAUUUUUCUUUAAUAUUAGUUUAAAUAUUUAAUUAGUUUAUAAAAAUUAAGUGUUAGUUAAACUAAAUCAUUUUAAAAUAAUAAUUUUUUCACUUAAACUAUAAAAAUUUUACUAAAAUUUAAAACAAAUUUAACACUUAAAACUUUUAACUAAAACUAUGUUAAUUUUACUAUUAUUUUUUAAAAGUUAGUUUAAGUGUUAAAUUUUAAAAACGUCGAAAACUAACCGCGCCUAGGCAUCCUGUCCUUAGUUGGUCCGUAAGCUUUGGUGUUCGAAGUUUGGCAAUGUUUUCACGUAAUAUAGAUUUAACACUUAAACUCAUUUUUAAAAAAUAAUAGUGAUUUUGACUAAAAUUUAUAAUAAAUUUAACACUUAAACUUAAAAAAUAAGUUUUUUUAAAACUAAAACCAUGGCAAUUUAACUAAAACUUUUUAAAAAUUAGUUUAAGUGUUAAAUUUUAAACACGUCGAAAAUUAACCGCGCCUAGGCAUCCUGUCCUUAGUUGGUCCGUAAGCUUUGGUGUUCGAAGUUCGGCAAUGUUUUCACGUAAUAUAGAUUUAACACUUAAACUCAUUUUUAAAAAAAUAAUAGUGAUUUUGACUAAAAUUUAUAAUAAAUUUAACACUUAAACUUAAAAAAUAAGUUUUUUUAAAACUAAAACCAUGGCAAUUCACUAAAACUUUUUAAAAAUUAGUUUAAGUGUUAAAUUUUAAACACGUCGAAAACUAACCGCGCCUAGGCAUCCCGUCCUUAAUUGGUCCGUAAGCUUUUGGUGUUCGAAGUUCGGCAAUGUUUUCACGUAAUAUAGAUUUAACACUUAAACUCAUUUUUAAAAAAUAAUUGUGUUUUUGACUAAAAUUUAAAACAAAUUUAACACUUAAACUUAAGAAAUAAGUUUUUUAAAACUAAAACCAUGUCAAUUUCACUAAGUUUAAGUGUUAAAUUUUAAACACGUCGAAAACUAACUGCGCUUAGGCAUCCUGUCCUUAGCUGGUCCGUAAGCUUUGGUGUUCGAAGUUCGGCAAUAUUUUCACGUAGUAUAAAUUUAACUUAAACUCAUUUUUAAAAAAUAAUAGUGAUUUUGACUAAAAUUUAAAACAAAUUUAACACUUAAACUUUAAGAAAUAACAAUUUUUAAACUAAAACCAUGUCAAUUUCACAAAAAUAAUUAAAAAUUAGUAUAAGUGUUAAAUUUUAAACACGUCGAAAACAAACCGAAAUCCGUAGUUGGUCCGUAAGUUUUGGUAUUCAAAAUUCGGCAAAUCGAAAUUCGGCAAAUAACUCUUUACAUGUUUAAAAGUUAACCACGGUACGUAAAAGAAGAGAUAACCAUGUGGAAAAACAUUUUGGGAAGUGAUUUAACAACAAUUUUUUUCAUUUAAUAUCGCUGUUGUCGGAAUGUCAAAGAACCUUAGAGUCAAAUCUAGCUUUAGACCACUCUUCUCUUCUCCACAAGGACGAAAAUGGCGGUUUUGUUUCAAAUCCCUCACUUUAUGCCACAUGAAGCUCUCUUUCUCCAUUUACUUGGUUGCCCAAAUCCUCUUGACCUCACUCAUUCCCUUCGUUACCGGAACACACUCGAGUUACCGUACAGUUGAAUAACGUACAAGUCAUCAAAAGAAGGAAUGGGAUUGAAUUGCGCCGUGAUGAGGUAUCUGUGUUCUGAUUUUGUUUUGGUUUUGAAAGAGAAUGACAAAUUCAAGUUUCCUGGUGGAGCUGAUCAGUACUUGGAUCAGAAGAUCUCAAAGGUUAAUCGAUUUCAAUGAAUCAUUAUUUGUAUGUGUAGCUGAUUCCUGGUAUGUAUCACCUUUGUUGUUCUUGACAUUGGAUGUGGUGUGUUCGUCGGCAUAUGUAUUCUUGACUUUGGAUGUGGUGUGUUCGUCGGAGGGAUCGACGAUGAGGACAAGCGGUUAGUUGGUUUACAUUGGUUUUGACAUUAAAAUUGAUUUAAAUGGUAGUGAAAUUAGAAUUGAUUUUGGGUUCGGUUUACACUGGUUAAGAGAAGAAAACAAAAAAAAUAUUCACGCGAUGAAAAAUUUGGAGAGAAGUGCGUCGAUUGAAAAAGGCAUGAUUCCGAAAGGUAAAACCCCUUCAGCAACGCGCACUUUGUGCGAGUGGGUCUGAAAUAGAGCCUUCUGAUUGGCUGAAAAACUCUAAAAAAAGUGAAAUAGUAUACAUGUUGCUAGCUCCUCUCCUAUAUGUUAUUAUUUAGUCUUCUCUAAAACUGAUGAAAGUUGUUGUUUUUUUAGAUACAAUUGAUUCUAGAUACUUGAGAUCUGAUGGUAGUGAUAUUUUAGAUACUUGAGAUUUAGUAUUUGAUCUAUAAAGAUUUCAUAUUUGUUGAUUUUUGAUGACUUGAAGCUCUCUGCAGAUGCAAAAGAGUCUGAAUAUGGAUGGGACUGCGUUUGAAUCAUUACGGUGUCUCUGUUGAUGUUUCCUGUGAUGUAUCUACAAGUAGGCCUAGUAUUCAAAAAAUGCAAGCUAGGAUCAUCUUUAUGAGACUAGGCCACUCAAUACAGAGAAUAAAUGAAUGCACUUGGACAUGGAAAUGUUACAUCUGAACCACCUACUGCUUCUGCUGCAAUGUCAUCUUCAACUCUUCUCCUACCUUCAUUAGCUAUUAGUAAGCCAAAACUGUCCCAAGGUUCAAGUAUGUAGUGGAUUAAAAACAUCGGUUGUGAAGCAUCUUGGCUCUGGAAAAUGCAUGCCUAUUUCAGAAUUUUUGUGAAGCACUUUUC